UCAAGAGCUAUCCAUGGAUUGAGGGUCCAGAGAGAAACAUGCAAUACAAAAGUUUGGGCUUCUUCUUACUGCUUACUCUAGCUCGCUUGGUGCAGGUCGGGAACCCUUCGCACUUUAAUACCCUCACUAGCAGAGGGUUCCCGCCUUGCAUCAACUGAAUUGGAGACUACAGUAAAGAUUCGAUGUUUUACUAUGAUUGCACUGGAUUUUUAUCUUGCGGACAGGUCUGA
rnacentral:pre_miRNA from 1 species